GAUGAACGCUGGCGGCGUGCCUAAUACAUGCAAGUCGAGCGAACAGAUGAGGAGCUUGCUCCUCUGACGUUAGCGGCGGACGGGUGAGUAACACGUGGAUAACCUACCUAUAAGACUGGGAUAACUUCGGGAAACCGGAGCUAAUACCGGAUAAUAUAUUGAACCGCAUGGUUCAAUAGUGAAAGACGGUUUUGCUGUCACUUAUAGAUGGAUCCGCGCCGCAUUAGCUAGUUGGUAAGGUAACGGCUUACCAAGGCAACGAUGCGUAGCCGACCUGAGAGGGUGAUCGGCCAAACUGGAACUGAGACACGGUCCAGACUCCUACGGGAGGCAGCAGUAGGGAAUCUUCCGCAAUGGGCGAAAGCCUGACGGAGCAACGCCGCGUGAGUGAUGAAGGUCUUCGGAUCGUAAAACUCUGUUAUUAGGGAAGAACAAAUGUGUAAGUAACUAUGCACGUCUUGACGGUACCUAAUCAGAAAGCCACGGCUAACUACGU
rnacentral:rRNA from 1 species